rnacentral:rRNA from 1 species
UACGGGGGGGGCAAGCGUUGUUCGGAAUUACUGGGCGUAAAGGGCUCGUAGGUGGCCAACUAAGUCAGACGUGAAAUCCCUCAGCUUAACUGGGGAACUGCGUCUGAUACUGGAUGGCUUGAGAUUGGGAGAGGGAUGCGGAAUUCCAGGUGUAGCGGUGAAAUGCGUAGAUAUCGUGAGGAACACCAGAGGCGAAGGCGGUUACCUGGACAAUUACUGACGCUCAGGCACGAAAGCAUGGGGAGCAAAAGGG